AGGGAGAAAAGCCAGGUGUGACCACACCUAAUGGCUGUAGGAGAGAGAGUCAGGCAGGAAGAUUCUGCAGUCAGAUUGGGCUGGAGGCCUGUGUUGUGAAGACAGUCAGUGGUCAGUAUGCAAUGGAGUUGCUGAGGGUCUGGAGACCUGAGUCUACACCUGUAAGAGACAGGGAAGGCCACCAAUCUCGAGGACUGAGCUAUGUCUUGCUGAGAAGAAGCCAGGCAGGAGCCUAUGAUGCCUGCAAGGAAGCAGGAUUGAGACUGUGUACAUGUGAGGCUGUAUCUGUGAGCAGCUGUGGCAGCCAAAGCCAAGCCAGGCUGGAGCCUGUGAUAUACAGUGGUACAGGUACAAACUCCACACUAACACCUGGACGAAUUGAACCGGAGAGUCAGUACGAGUAAGGGACAUCCCGAUGCAAAGACACCACAUAUAAGGCGACUGUUCUACGUAUGUCUGAUGCUUGGCAAAUAGGAAAGAUCUGCUGAGCUUUCGCUGUGCGAUUCCUCGUCGACCUCUGUUCAGGCUUCCACAAUGCAUAAUUUCACAGCAUCGAUGUUCGAGAAAGACUGGACAUCGAUUAUUACAGGAUGAACGUCACUGCCUGGGUGGACCGUUACCUACCUACUCUCCACCUACUUUUUCCUCCUUCCCCUUUUUUUGUUUCAUUACUGGUCAUAUAUUUUCCAAUUGUUGAAUAUUAUAAAAGUUACUUCUUUCUAGUCUACAUUUAUAUGUUCUAGAAGUGCAAUUUGUGCUCUGAAAGUAUGAUUAUUCAAUUUAUUUGUAAUUGUUUUCAUCUGUUACUGUUAUAUUUGGAUAUACCUUUACAU